GAGGUGUCAGCCCAGUGCAGCAGUGGCCAAGAUACACUGGCUGCAGUGGCACAGAGCAAAACUCACACAUCUGCAUUGUCCUUACAUCAUGUUCUGCAGAAGCGUUAGUUGGUUCAUCUGCAUGUUUGUCGCAGUUCUCACAGCUGCCGACUAUAGCGACUCUCAUCCCAGUACAGGAUUAGAUCCCGAACUCACAGUCUACCACUUUGGAACUGACAAUAUGA